CUUGUCACAUCAAUGUAGAUUCUAAAUUUUCUCUUCCAGCUUGCAUCGAUUACUCUGUAGGUUACCUUUGCCUCCACUUAAAGCACUAAGAAGUGCUGCUAAGCUUAACUGGCAACACUAAUAUGUCUGCUGUAUGAGUGAUUAUGGGUAAGUCCAAGGGUAAGACUGAUUUGUAGCCUGUCUAAAGGUUUCUUCACAUCAGAAUUGAUCACAACAAUGUAAUCAAAGAAUCAACCUCAGAAAUGGGAUGUUGUGACUGGUUUUCAUGUGGCCACCUUUAUCUCUCAAUUCAUACUUCGAUCCAUUUGCUACAACUGUUUAAUUUAACUUUAGGGACAUUAUUAUGCAGAGCCUGACACUGAAGUUUUGAAUAAAUAUCAUGGACCAAGACUGGAGAUGUUAGAGAUGGAGAGCCAGUCUGCCACAGUACACUCUUGUCACACACAUGUGACUAUGAAGGAGCUGAGUGGACCAAGUGGCGGUAAUUACCUGCCAGGCCAGGGGGUGGUGGGGUGCACUAAACCUAACUCUGUUAUCUCUGCAGGCCAAAUAAGGGAAAACCUACCUGAUUCAACAUCACUUCCGGUUCUGGCCAGAUGACAUCACUUCCAUUUUUCGGCUUAUAAAGCUGCCAUCUUUCUUAUUCUCAUCAGUUCAGCUCAGGACUCAAAACGUUGCACAUGAGUGCCCUUAAACAACCCUUUUGCAGCCAAAGACAAUAUAGCUGCAGUACUUCAGGAACUGUAAAGAUGGAAAGCGUUUCCCACCUUGGCAAUUGGCCUCAUUCAGAAUUCAAGCUAAGGAUAGAGCUGCCCUGGCAAGAGGAAAAAAGGAAGGCCUAACAGAAGGUUUAUGGAUAUGGUGAGAGAGGACAUGCAAGUGAUGGGUGCUACAGAGCAAGGUGCUGAAGACAGGAAGAUAUGGAAAAAGGUGAUCUGCUGUGGCAACCCCUAACAGGAGCAGCCAAAAGAAGAAGAUUAUUAUUAAUAUUGUUGUUGUUAUUUUAUCAUUUUAUAGGAAAAUAAGUUUAUGGAGGAUUUGCAUAUUGAAUCUCAUUGUAUCAUACAAUAACAAUAAAG